AAUAAAUAUAUGUAAAAGAUAAGUAAAUUAAUAAAUGACUUAAAGAGAGUCUAUGGUAGGUGAAAAUAGAUAGUCUUAGUUAAUUGAAGCUACUUUUAUUAAUGCGAUUAAUAGUCGCCGGAAGAACACCGUUAUAUAAAUUAAGAUAUACAUAUUAUGUAUAAAUUAGGAUGGUACCACGAAUUAUUUCGUUCCUAUA
rnacentral:ncRNA from 1 species